rnacentral:sRNA from 1 species
CUUAUAUAAAAAUUUAUGACUUCUAUAUAUACAUUUUUGCAGCCAUUUUAACAAAUAAAUCCUAUAACUGGACUUAUUUACAACCCAAUGCCAUUAGCAUUAAUU